rnacentral:misc_RNA from 1 species
UCGUGGGGGCAACCCCAUCGAGAUAACACCCCAUGCCUUUUGAGAACCGCCCGUUUCCCCGGCAGGUCCGCCUGCCAGCGGGGACUAUACAAACCCUUUUAGUACAAGCAGUCAGCGUUAAACAAUGAAUAAAUUA